rnacentral:tRNA from 1 species
GCCUUCGUGGCGUAAUGGCCAGUACGCUGGGCCCCUAUUCCACAGGUCCGUGGUUCGAGCCCCGGCGAAGGCA